rnacentral:misc_RNA from 1 species
GAUGAAGAACGCAGUGAAAUGCGAUAAGUAAUGUGAAUUGCAGAACUCAGUGAAUCAUCGAAUCUUUGAACGCACAUUGCGCCCCCUGGCCUUCCGGGGGGCAUGCCUGUUCGAGCGUCAUUUCAACCAUCAAGCCCCCGGCUUGUGUUGGGGACCUGCGGCUGCCGCAGGCCCUGAAAAGCAGUGGCGGGCUCGCUGUCACACCGAGCGUAGUAGCAUACAUCUCGCUCUGGGCGUGCUGCGGGUUCCGGCCGUUAAACCACCUUCAUAACCCAAGGUUGACCUCGGAUCAGGUAGGAAGACCCGCUGAACUUAAGCAUAUCAAUAAGCGGAGGA